rnacentral:rRNA from 1 species
GACGAACGCUGGCGGCGUGCCUAAUACAUGCAAGUAGAACGAGUUGCGAACGGGUGAGUAACGCGUAGGAAACUGCCUCAUAGCGGGGGAUAACUCAUGGAAACGAUAGCUAAUACCGCAUACUGUGAGAUGGAACUGCUUGGUAUUAGCUAGUGGGUGAGGUAACGCCUCACAUAGGCGACGAUCCCUAGCUGGUCUGAGAGGAUGACCAGCAAAACUGGAACGGGGACACGGCCCAGACACCUACGGGAGGAAGCAGUGGGGAAUAUUCGACAAUGGGCGCAAGCCUGAUGCAGCCAUGCCGCGUGUAUGAAGAAGGCCUUCGGAUUGUAAAGUCCUUUCAGCGAGGAGGCGUUACUCGCAGAGAAAGUACCGGCUAACUCCGUGCCAGCAGCCGCGGUAAUUC